UGAUGCCAGAAUCAAGUCAUAGAUGCACAGAAACUAAUAAUUAAGGAAGCUUCUGAUGUCAAUGAUUGAAGUCUGGACUCUGUGAGGUGGGUACUGGUGCCACUUACAUUCUACAGAUGAAGAAACUGAAGCUCAUAGAAGUCAAAACAGAAAUGGCAGGAGUGGGGACAGCCUUCUUCUUCCCUUGCAGCUCUGAGUCCUGUGCUUCCUGACUGUACUCCCCUCAGGAAAGGAGGAUGCACAGCUAUACCUGCAGCCCUGAUACCUCCCCAAAUAACAUAAGAGGCACUUUCUGCCAGGCAAGUGACUGACGGCGGAAAUGGAAAAUCCCAUAGCAGGAUCAUGGGAGAGUUCUUAUCGGGAGA
rnacentral:lncRNA from 1 species